CAGCGCGUAGCUUAAGAACUAUAGUGUCUCCCUUACACUGAGAAGAUCCCCGUGAAAACCGGGUCGCACUGA
rnacentral:tRNA from 1 species